rnacentral:rRNA from 1 species
UACGUAGGUGGCGAGCGUUGUCCGGAAUUAUUGGGCGUAAAGAGCUCGUAGGCGGUCUGUCGCGUCUGCUGUGAAAACUCGGGGCUUAACCCCGGGCCUGCAGUGGGUACGGGCAGACUAGAGUGCGGUAGGGGAGACUGGAAUUCCUGGUGUAGCGGUGAAAUGCGCAGAUAUCAGGAGGAACACCGGUGGCGAAGGCGGGUCUCUGGGCCGUAACUGACGCUGAGGAGCGAAAGCGUGGGGAGCGAACAGG